GAAGAGACAGCGCCGCCGGCCGUGGGGAGCGGACGCAGCGAUUUGCUCCCCUUCGCGCAGCAACCCCCACACCCAGCACCAGGCCCCCAGAACUCUCCUUCCAGCUGAACUCUCUGAGAACAAGUCAGUUGGGCUGAUCACUGAACUCACAUUUCUGGACCUGAGAUCUUUCCCAUUUUCCCUCCCUUUCCCUUAGGAGCCUGUUCCUCUCACACCCUCACCUGGCUGAGCCGCAGUAGUUCUUCAGUGGCAAGCUUUAUGUCCUGACCCAGCUAAAGCUGCCAGUUGAAGAACUGUUGCCCUCUGCCCCUGGCUUCGAGGAGGAGGAGGAGCUGCUUUCCCCAUCAUCUGGAAGCGGCUACAGGAAGCUGUGUCUGUUCGAUUUGGUGGGAGGAGAUGUGCAGGGAGCUGUAUCUUAUCCUCCGCUUGUGAAAAACUCAAGGAUGUGGAGAAGAGUAGACCGUGGAACCCUGCCCUUCUGCAACCAAGCUGAGGGGCAGGAUGCGUAUGGGACAGUGGUAGAGAAGCAGGGGAUAGACGCAUAGGCUGCAACAAAGGUCACUCUGUCCCUGGACACUGCCUCCGUACUUUCUCCUUCUUGCUUCACUGGCCACAGCAUCUCCCUCCAGCCCUCACUAUGUGCCUCUGCCAUCUUCACCCAUCAUGGAGCAGAGGUGAGGAAAGGCAGCCUGGGAAUGUGGAGACCAGUGAAGGACCAGGCCUGGAAAGCACAGGGUCCUACCUGGGCAUCCAGCAGAGGAGCCCCUAAAGGCCAGGAGCAACCCAAGAGGAGGGAGGACAGCCAGCCUCCAUCGACGGCGAGCCUCCAGCCCUCUCCUACUUUGAUCACCAUUUCUCUCCAGGCUUUCUGCCUCCGAGAUGUGGCACCAUAGUGCAGUGCC
rnacentral:lncRNA from 1 species